rnacentral:tRNA from 1 species
ACCGAAAUAGCUCAGUUGGGAGUGCAUUAGACUAUAGAUCGAAAGUCCCCGGUUCGAACCCAGGAUCCGGCA